rfam:Camelus ferus unplaced genomic scaffold scaffold1161, whole genome shotgun sequence.
GAGGAUAUAGCCCAGUGGCAGAGUGCAUGCCUAGCAUGCAUGAGGUCCUGGGUUCAAUCCCCAGCACUGCCA